rnacentral:piRNA from 1 species
GGAACAUUUCAGCCUGCAGGGAAACUCU